GAGAGGGGAGACACUGGGAUGGGCUGAGGGGGCACUGGGAGAGACAGGGGAAAGUUUUUUGCCCCUUUCCUGGGCACUGGAACACCCUCUGCACCCCCAUUCCCGGCCGUGCCGGCUCUCCUUCCCCCUCAAGCCUUGAACAGGUUUUGGGGCUCCCUCGUGGGUCACAGCCAAUAGAACGGCUCUGCUGGAAUGACGUCAUUGGCAAAUUCUGCUCAACCCCUCUCCUUGGGCCGAAGCGGCAUCAAUUCUG